ensembl:lncRNA
CUGUGAAGCCGUACCUUAUUGCCCAACGAUGUUGCAGACGUCAUUGCUUCUCUGGAAAUGUCUUUCACAAGAGUGACUUUGGUUUGGGAUAUUCAACCAUGACAUGUGAGUGUAAUGUUCGCCUCAUAAAGCCAUAAACCAUUUGAAUACCAUUACAAAACUGGCUGGUGGCGCCAGACUACUGUGUCCAUCAUUCUUGACUGACUGCAGACCCCGCUGCCAUGCUGACUGACAGUCGGGGUGCCGGAGACGCUGCUAUCUCUCGCCUUGCCGCUGCCUGAUCCUGGGGAGCAUCCCUGACCACCUCACCCACCAGUUUCAGCUGCUUGAAGACUCCAGUGUUUGCUGACGAGGCUGCGGGGGCCUGUUACUCCCACACCGGGGGGUCAGCUAAUCCACUCGCUGCCCCGCGGAGUGUGAGUGAUGGUGGCCCAGCACGGGCAGGCUUGAGUGAGCAGCAGAUAGAUAUGAAACGACCCCCGGAGAGCGGAGCGGGGCGACCACGAUCAGGAAAAUGACUGCAACCCCGCUUCGAGCCUCUGCUGUGAUCACUGAGAAGGGUCAGUGACAUCCAUCUGUCGGAGGACUGAGCGUGCCGCAGGGGGGAGGAAGGUGUAUGUCUCCCCACCCCCUCAGGCUUCGCCCUUGGCACUGGCUCUGAAGUUAUGACCCGACAGACAGAAAUAAAUGCACUCUACACACAUCUAACGUGGAGUGAAGUUCCUCACAGGGCUUGCACAUGCAGAGCUCAGAGCACAUCACAAGGUGGCGGUACACCCAGCGACUAAACACUGCUGUCAUGAAGGGCCUUGUAUUUGUGGACAGCAAUAAAGUCUGUUUUGGUUAUAGACACCAUUUUUCCUGAUCCUGCAGCUCCAAAACGACCACACCAGUUUAAAUUUACGACUGCAUGCAGAACAUGACGAGCUGUGAUCCCACAGGUCCUCUGCUAACUGAGCAAAAACCUACCCCUGGACCCAGAGUUCAGAAGUCUGGCUGAAUUUAUUGUCUCAGUUUAUGGUCGGGCUGAGCAAAGUGCAAUCUGGUUGUCUGGACAAACUCUUCGAGGACCAGAGAAGAAGGGAGGGACGUGACAAAGGGGGCCUGGAUUUGUACAUUGCUGCAUUUUGGGAUCACUUUUUUUUUUUUUUUUUAGGAAUUUAAAGCAGUAAAUUGUUGACAGACAUGAGCAGUUUUAUUUUUAACCACUGCCACAAUAAAGAUAAAAUGUCUUCAUGUUUGUCAGUUUAUAGUUGUUGUUAAAGAAAUUAAUUAAAGUCAUUCGAAUGGCGCGAUAUAUGAUACAAUCCUUCACGUGUUUUCAUGUGUUUAUAUGGUGGCGGUGGUAGUGGUGGUGGGGGGUGUACCUGCAAACUCCACCUUAGACAGUAAAGCCAUAAACUCAGUUAUCCUCUACCUCAGAUCCUUCCUCAAAACAUAUAGUCCCCCGACUUGCUGAUUGCUUUAUUGAUAUGGAUCUGGGCAAAGUGUCGAACCACUUGUUCAUCUCCGUCAGAAGCAGUUAAUCGGUAUUUAUGCAAUGGGAGGAGAGACGGAGGUCGACAUAAACAACUUCUGAAUGAAACAGAGUCCUGUAGGUGUAAGGGCAUAAGGGAGCAGGAGGCUCAGUGCCAGUUUAUCAGGUACUCUGUAUUAACACAGAAUAACUGAAACACGUGUCCGCAGUGAGCCGUCACAAAUACAUCCAUAAAAAUAACCAGGCGAGGUUUAAAACGGC